rnacentral:lncRNA from 1 species
AAAGAGAGCAGCAGCCUUUGAUUGGCUUUUGACGCACAUAAACGCCAAAACUUUUAUAUCUUCCAAAACCUUGGACACGGAGAUCUACUUAUCGUGCGUUACGCGAGCGUUUGGUAUUUUGUCUUGGCAGUGGGAUGGGGGUUUUAUAUUUGCAUUCACAAUACAUCAGUUGUUAGAAAAAUGUUGGUUCCUGCUUCUUGUUGAUAAAUGGGUGUUUGAUGUUCUAGCUGCUACCAUGGUUCUCGCCUUUCUUGGAUGGGGGAGUUUUAUCAUCCGCAGAUGAUGCUAUCAUAAUUGGCGAGUGGUCUAAAAUGAAUUUAGAAAAUGUUGUAAGGAUCCUUAGAUGCUUUCGUAUUUGUUCUGGGCUGAAAAUUAAUCUGGCUAAGAGUAAUUUGUUUGGUUGGUUGGGUGCCCCGUUUUGUGGGUGGCCGGUUCUUUAUAAAGUUAG